rnacentral:rRNA from 1 species
AGACCCGAAACCCGGUGAUCUAGCCAUGGGCAGGUUGAAGGUUGGGUAACACUAACUGGAGGACCGAACCGACUAAUGUUGAAAAAUUAGCGGAUGACCUGUGGCUGGGGGUGAAAGGCCAAUCAAACCGGGAGAUAGCUGGUUCUCCCCGAAAGCUAUUUAGGUAGCGCCUCGUGAAUUCAUCUCCGGGGGUAGAGCACUGUUUCGGCUAGGGGGCCAUCCCGGCUUACCAACCCGAUGCAAACUGCGAAUACCGGAGAAUGUUAUCACGGGAGACACACGGCGGGUGCUAACGUCCGUCGUGAAGAGGGAAACAACCCAGACCGCCAGCUAAGGUCCCAAAGUCAUGGUUAAGUGGGAAACGAUGUGGGAAGGCCCAGACAGCCAGGAUGUUGGCUUAGAAGCAGCCAUCAUUUAAAGAAAGCGUAAUAGCUCACUGGUCGAGUCGGCCUGCGCGGAAGAUGUAACGGGGCUAAACCAUGCACCGAAGCUGCGGCAGCGAACGUAUCACCCAAGACAACUUUGCGGAGUUGACGAUUGACGGAGCGAAGCGACGUCAAAGCGUUCAUUAAAGUCGAGUUGGCUUAGGGAUACGUUCGUUGGGUAGGGGAGCGUUCUGUAAGCCAGUGAAGGUGUGUCGUGAGGCAUGCUGGAGGUAUCAGAAGUGCGAAUGCUGACAUAAGUAA